rnacentral:piRNA from 1 species
UGAUGAUGUCACGAGUAAGCAAGUGUG